GAGGCGAUAUGCGAUGAUGUUAAUUUGUGAAUGAAUGACUCACUGCACUGCACCGCAUGCAUGCAUUGCAAAUGCUGUUUUUGUAUAACCGUGACGACCUCCCUGGUCCUGGACGACCUACUAACUUAUUCGAGACUCAAGUAGAAAUUGUUUGUGCAUAAGAACAUCUGUCUGUGAAGCUGUAACAAGUUCAAACAGUAAGAAGUAGGAAGAUAAGAGGAAACUAUGAACAGUGCUGGUGGAAGUGUGCAGAGAGCCAGGCAAAGAAUGGCCCAAUUUCCUGCUGCACUUGCAGAAUGCACCCCACAGGCACUUGCUUACGGUCGAUGCGUUUCUGCCAAGGACCAUGUAGGUAGAAAUGACUGUGCCAAAGAGUUUCAAGUCUACAAGGAAUGUCUUCAGAAAGUGAUGUGCAAGGUGAAGAAAUGAUAACUGCUGCUGUACAGAAGAGAAAUAACGAGCAUGAGCUCUUCCUCCAGAUAUGAUGGUGUGCCACCGGUGUGCCACCUACACUCGGCCUCUGUAGCUGAGGUUUUGCUACUUUGGUUGAUGAUGUCAUCUGGAUUGAAGCUUCAGCAUCGAAACACACAAAUGGCUGUGAGAUUACAUCAAACAAUGGUGGAUUUUACCACCAGCUUAUCAUAGGGAUGAUUGAGUCCCUCCCCUCUAGGAGGUAGAUGAUACUUAGCACUUUAAAAGGAAUUUGAAGUUGGGAGAUACAUGUAGGUUAAAAAAACCCAUUGGGAAUUGCAAGGCCUCUUUUAAAGUAUAUUUAUUUCAUUUUUGUCGGAGGGGGUCGGGUGGAAUAUAAAAUCAAAUGAUCCAAUGAAAAUUGUAGUUCUUCAUUUGCCUUUACAUUCAUGAUAUGACAAAAUGACAUACACAUAUUUUGCUCAAAUAUUUAUUUGUAGUUUCGUGCAUGCAUGAUUUGUGCAGUGCAUUUUACUCUCCAUAAGAUAGAGUUCAAGUUCAAGCUUCUUUCACAAUUCAAUCUUGUGACCAAAGAAAUUCCUUGAUUUCUUGUUCUCCUGUGAUGCUAUUUAGUGACUUUAUUCUUUGAAGUUUCAUCCAUCUUUUUUUGGUACAUAGUUCAUUUAAAUUAGACCAGGAUGAUGGAAUCACUGAAUGUUUGCUUACAUUUUUGUACAAAUGAGUACAUAUUUUCAUUAGUUGCUACAAACACUUCAGCUGGUUUCAGCUCCAGAGCCAUUUAGAAUAAUAUGCAAUUUCUGAUACCUGUACUUUGGUUAUCUUAUACAAUCAUAAAAGCAGUGACACAGGUAUUAAAGAAAAUAUGGAUUUUAGAUCUAAACUGAAAUAAAGAAUUUAGUUUGUUGACAAAAAUUUUCAUGGAAAUAUAAUGGUUGAGCUUUAAGAUUGUCAUAAGUGCAUGAUGUUUAAGGCAAAAAAUAAAAAUAAAUAAAAGGACACAUUUACUGUGAAUGUGAAUGAUUCGUUAAUAAAUCAUGUACCGGUAGUCAACAAUUUAUUCCAUCUAAGUUAGCGAACCAAGAAUUUGUGACAUUUAGCGAGAGAGAAAAGAAAUUGACCCACCAAAUAUACUUCUUUUCAGGAAA